rfam:Pseudomonas syringae pv. japonica str. M301072 contig1.80, whole genome shotgun sequence.
UGUUAUGGUGACUGUGUGUGGGAGGCCUUCGGGUCUGCCGGUUUCUUUGAUGGCCGGUUCGCUAACCUGCGCACAGUCGCCACCCUG